GACGAACGCUGGCGGCGUGCUUAACACAUGCAAGUCGAACGGAAAGGCCCUGCUUGUGUGGGGUUCUCGAGUGGCGAACGGGUGAGUAACACGUGAGUAACCGGCCCUUGACUUUGGUGUAACUUCAGGAAACUGGGGCUAAUACCGUAUAGGAUCUCCUGCACCAUUGUGGGGGUUGGAAAGUUUAGGUUGGUGGGGAUGGACUCGCGGCUUAACAGCUUGUUGGUUGGGGAGUGGCUUACCAAGGCUUUGGCGGGUAGCCGGCCUGAGAGGGUGACCGGCGACAUUGGGACUGAGAUACGGACCAGAGUCCUAUGGGAGGCAGCAGUGGGGAGUCUUGCCCAAUGGGAGGGAGCCUGAUGAAGAGACGCCGCGUGCGGGAUGACGGCCUGCGGGUUGUAAAACGCUUUAGGCUGUGACGAAGCGUGACUGACGGUAAUGGGUAAAGAAGCACCGGCUAACUACGUG
rnacentral:rRNA from 1 species